UGAUUAUACAAGGUGCAGCAGCUUGGCACCAGCCUGUUGUGUCUUUACACUCUGCUGACCCUUGCUAAAAGAGAGCAGCGGAAAGCAAAGGAGAGAACCACCCAGCAGCUCGGAGCUCUUAGCUCCUCAUGCAGCCGCUACAGAGCUAGGCGGGGAGGCUGGUGGAGAACUCGGACGGACGACACCCUGCCCAGACACACUCCAGGAAUGUGAACCCACAGCCCUCAGGCACCUACAGUGCAAUAAGAGACAGAUAACCAGGACCAGGCCGGAGGCCAACACUGGAGCUGUUAGAGCCUCCAAAGGAGAGCCAUCCGAACAGCAGCCGCCUGAGUGACAGACAGAGUUGAGCCAGGUUGUGACGGCAGGGACAGUGUUCCAGGCCCAGGAGGCAAAGGAAUCCAGCCAGAACUGCAUAACACUGGCUCGCUUCCUCAGAGGGUGGCUGGCCACUGUGCUGGAAGAAGGCCAUGAGGCUGGGGAGAAGUGUGAGGAGACUACCGAGGAAGCCACAGCAUGGCUGGGACAAGGAGAUUUUUCCAUUGCAUGGGAGACCGACGGCAACAUCUUCAACUUGCGCGAGCACCGAGCAGGACUCCUCGUCACUUACUCAGGGACAUAUGGUUUUCAUCAGCCACCUCUCUCUUCUUGGCAGCCACCAGAACAAGGAUUUACAUUUCGUUUAGCGAACGUCCCCUCAAAACCCUUGCACCAAGCUCUUAUUUGUUACCGUACCCCUUUUUCUGUCUCUCGUGAUCCCGUCUCUGCCUCACUUUCCCAAGAAUGCCAGUCCCUAGCCAGGCAAACCCAACUAAAGGAAGUACCUGUCUACCAGACCUGGUCAGUAGAGCCUGAAAGCAGAAGUUGGCCCAAAGGCCUCUGGGAGUUGGAGCAGUUGGGGUGAGUGGAAAAUACUUCUAAGAGAGAAGGUUCCUGAAGCUGUAUUGGUGGGUGAAUGAGAAGCUUUUCUCAGCCACAAAAACCUCCUCAUGAUUUCUGUCGUACUUAGAAUAAACACUGAUGUCUCAAAAUGGCCUUUGAGGCCUCUCUCCACAUCUCUUCAGCCUCAUCCUGAGUAAUGCUUCCUCACUCACUGCAUCCUGGCUUCAGUAGUCUCUCCAGUUCCUCAAACUCCAGCAUGUUGAAGUUCCUGGGGCAACAGACCCCUCCGUAGGUUAGAGAAGAAGGCGGCUCAGGAUCGCCUCUGUCCUCACAGGAUCUCUGACGUUCCAGGCAUCUUGUACGUUCCUGUCAGGGAUAGCAUCAUCUCAUUCCUGGGACCAGGAUUCACUCUGGCCCUCAUCUAGUCCACUGUCUUGUUUUUCAGGAAAG